rnacentral:rRNA from 1 species
ACCCGCUGAACUUAAGCAUAUCAAUAAGCGGAGGAAAAGAAACCAACAGGGAUUGCCCCAGUAACGGCGAGUGAAGCGGCAACAGCUCAAAUUUGAAAUCUGGCCCCAGGCCCGAGUUGUAAUUUGCAGAGGAUGCUUUUGGCGCGGUGCCUUCCGAGUUCCCUGGAACGGGACGCCAUAGAGGGUGAGAGCCCCGUACGGUUGGACACCAAGCCUUUGUAAAGCUCCUUCGACGAGUCGAGUAGUUUGGGAAUGCUGCUCUAAAUGGGAGGUACAUUUCUUCUAAAGCUAAAUAUUGGCCAGAGACCGAUAGCGCACAAGUAGAGUGAUCGAAAGAUGAAAAGCACUUUGAAAAGAGGGUUAAACAGCACGUGAAAUUGUUAAAAGGGAAGCGCUUGUGACCAGACUUGCGUCCGGUGAAUCACCCAGCUCUCGCGGCUGGGGCACUUCGCCGGCACAGGCCAGCAUCAGCUUGCCGUCGGGGACAAAAGCUUCAGGAACGUAGCUCCUCUCGGGGAGUGUUAUAGCCUGUUGUAUAAUACCCUUCGGCGGGCUGAGGUACGCGCUCCGCAAGGAUGCUGGCGUAAUGGUCAUCAGCGACCCGUCUUGAAACACGGACCAAGGAGUCAACCUUAUGUGCGAGUGUUUGGGUGUUAAACCCCUACGCGUAAUGAAAGUGAACGCAGGUGAGAGCUUCGGCGCAUCAUCGACCGAUCCUGAUGUUCUCGGAUGGAUUUGAGUAAGAGCAUAUAGGGUUGGACCCGAAAGAAGGUGAACUAUGCGUGUGUAGGGUGAAGCCAGAGGAAACUCUGGUGGAGGCUCGCAGCGGUUCUGACGUGCAAAUCGAUCGUCAAA